UCAAAAGGGAGCCCAGUGCCGGGAGCCCCCUUCAGACUUUGGGGGCCCGUCCCCCGCCACGGCCACGCUGCACCGGGCCUCCGGUGCCCCCCACACCCCCCCCCGUACGAAAACCGAGCCAGGGCCAGCUCCGAACGGGACCCUGCUGGAGCGUGACCCCGCCACUCACAGGAGACACUGAAAUCCUGAGCAGAUUCCAGGCUGUGGAGACACAGACAGAUCUGAGAGGGGCCCGUCUCGCCGUCCCUUCCACGGGGCUCCUCCUCCCUGCAGGGGCGCGAGCUCGGCUCGUCCCGCCGCUGACACAGCUGCAGCGGGCCGCGGGGAGCGCCGUUACUGGCCGCCGCGUGGAGACAGGGGAACGGCAUUGUGGGUCGCCGCGUGGAGCGGCGCGGAGUACGCCAGUCUCGGAGGCGGCGGUGAAGUCAUCGGUCGGCCGUGAGUAUGUCACAGCUCAGCACUUUGGCUUUUUUUCCCCCCCACUGCUCUGCAAUGGUGAGAAAUUCAAAAAUAACUCAGAGAGAGACUGUCAAAUAUGUGUGUGUGUGUGUGUGUUUGCGGGUGAGGCAUCAUAUAAUGCGUAAUAAAUGGAACUUUUCUCAACUUCCUUUCGCCAACUUCCUGGUUUAGAGAAUUAAUCAGUGUGUGGUUUCUGCUGUGACUUCUUAGUCUUAUGCGGUCGACUGUUCUGUUCUGUAACUGUGUGGCUGGGGCCAGCCUGAAGUGAGAAAAUAUGGCAAUAUUUUUUCCCUCUGUGUUUCCUUUAACUUGCCUGCAUAUAGAGAGUUCCUCCGCAGUAAGAAUGCAAUCCACGUAGCGAGGAGAGCUCCCAGCAGCCUCGUCUCUGCGAGCUGCUUCCAUUCUCAGACAGCUGUUCCGUGGAGAGGCGGGAUGCUGCAUUCCACGGAGCGCUAGGCUCACAGACAGACGCGCAGACCACUUCCUGCUCGUCUCUGCUCCGUGAACUCAGCGACAGAGCAUCGCUGCUGUGACACACAUCCUGUUUCUCUCUCGCUGCCACCACACACACACACAAACACACACGCACACACACAAACACGCACGCACACACACACAAACACGCACGCACGCACACACACACACACACAAACACAACGCACACACACAGGCAAACAUGCACACACACACACACACACAAACACGCACACACGCACACACACACACACACACGCACACACACACACACAAACACGCACGCACACACACACACACACACACAAACACGCAUGCACACAGACACACACAAACACACACACACGCACACACACAGGCAAACACGCACACACACACACUCCCACACACAAAGCUGAGCAGCAGCUUCAGCAUCAUAGGCACAUUCCAUCCGAGACGUCUUUUUUUUCUUUUUUCCUUUUUGCGCGAAUUUGGUGACUCUUUGUGAGAAAAUUUCCGGAACAGUCUGCUGUGGGACGUGGAAGGACGUGUUAUGAUGAAAAGUUGGUUUGCUUUGAUCCUGCUGUCAGGAUUUUUGAUUGGAGGAUGUGGUUGGCGCACGUCUGUGUCUGAGUCUGUGGAGAUCCUAAUGCAUCUCCCACACCAGACAGGCACCCUCAGCCACUGUGCAUUCAAAAGACUCCUGUCCAACAUGAGAGAGGGGCAAAGAGAAAAGGUGAGAAUAGAGUACAGAGACUGUAAGAGAGAGGGAGGGGGCACAGAGAGAAAGAGAGAGAGAGAGAGAGUGUGCAUGCGCGUGUGUGUGUGAGAGAGAGAGAAAGAGACAGAGAUAGAGAGAGUACUCAGAUUGAUGGAGAACCAUUGAGACAGAAAGAAACAUAUUUGUGUUCAACCGGCAGAGCACCACUCAACAUUCCCAAAAGGGAAUACUGAUGCAGGGAGGUGAAUUUCAGAGCGCUUUGAAUUGUGGAGCGUGCUUACAGAGAUUAUCCACGUUCUGUUUUUUUAUAUUUAUAUUUCAGUUUUAAUGUGUGUUUUCGAUUGGCACAGACAUUUUUUGUUUCAUGAAGGAUGUUUCAUAUACUUACAGAAGUUUCUGAUGACAUGAUAGCAUGGCGUUGUUAUAGAACAUUAUGAGGAAACGAUAUUAAUAAAACUCCAGAAAUCAUCCCAUUAAUGAGCUGUCUGUCUCCACUGGUCCGGCAUUAUACUGAGGGGUGGAGCAGGAGAUGGGUGGAGGAGGGUGUGGUGUGAU